rnacentral:rRNA from 1 species
AGCUCCAAUAGCGUAUAUUAAAGUUGUUGCAGUUAAAAAGCUCGUAGUUGGAUUUCUGGUUUAGUGCGCUUGACCCGCCGCCGUUAGGCGUGUGAGUGUCGAUGCGCGCUUACCAUCCUUCUAGAGAACGUUUCUGCCCUUUACUGGGUUGGACUCGCAAUCUAGAACUUUUACUUUGAAAAAAUUAGAGUGUUUAAAGCAGGCUCGCGCUAUGAAUACACUAGCAUGGAAUAAUAACUUAGGACUUUAGUCUUAUUUUGUUGGUUUCUAGGACUGAAGUAAUGAUUGAUAGGGAUAGUUGGGGGUGCUAGUAUUCAGCGGCCAGAGGUGAAAUUCUUGGAUUCGCUGAAGACUAACUUAUGCGAAAGCAUUCACCAAGGAUGUCUUCUUUA